AGAUCGCUUCUUUCAUUUUGCAGAGGCCUUGUUAAAAAUGAAAGUAUUGAUCUGAUUGGUUGCUAUGGGCAACUCAGCAACUUUUCCUCUGCACAGAUUUUGAUAAAUCCCCCCCAUUGAUCAUAUGGGCACGUGCCACAGAUCACCCCGAUGGCACCAUUGAUGACCUGAAUAAGGCACAGGACCGCUUCGAUGGCGCCGAUUGCCAGGAGGAUGGAGAAUAAGACGACGUUCCACAGCACCACAUUCUCAGGUGCUUUACACGUGCUCCAGGUCUCGUGGUGAAAGAGCAGGUACGUUCCUGCGAUGAGACCUACCAAUUCGUCCUGCAUAUUCCCCGUGCUGCUGAAAGCGACGCAGGAGAUCAGCCGAGUGACCUGGCUGUCAAAUCAGAUUGCGCUGUUCUUGGCAGUAUUGACCCCAUCUGCAUUAUUAACCUUGUCCCUCCCAUCAUCGACCCAGUAACGUGAUCGUUGGGUCCCCAUGGAAGCCAUGGCAACAGGAAGCCAGCUGAUGGCCUCUUUUCUGGUGCGUGUACAGUUUAUGUAACCUCCAGCUACUGUAAGGAAAAGGGGACUUACUCUUCUGUAUCAUUCCGGAAGGGGUAGAUGUAUUCGCCAUCUCCUGUGUCACACAGAGGUCCACGAACCAAACCCAUGGCAGAGAUGACCACGCAGUACGCUCCUCCGAUGGUGCCCAGUGCAGACAGGAUGACAGUCA